rnacentral:rRNA from 1 species
UACGUAGGGACCAAGCGUUUGUUCGGAUUUACUGGGCGUAAAGGGCGCGUAGGCGGCGAAUCAAGUCAGUUGUGAAAUCUCCGAGCUUAACUCGGAACGGUCAACUGAUACUGUUUUGCUAGAGUGCAGAAAGGGCAACCGGAAUUCUUGGUGUAGCGGUGAAAUGCGUAGAUAUCAAGAGGAACACCUGAGGCGAAGGCGGGUUGCUAGGCUGACACUGACGCUGAAGCGCGAAAGCUAGGGUAGCAAACGGG